rnacentral:rRNA from 1 species
AACGCGAAGAACCUUACCUGGGCUUGAACCGCACAGGACCAUCUACUGGAAACAGAGACUUCCCGGCAAGGGACCUGUGUAGAGGUGCUGCAUGGCUGUCGUCAGCUCGUGUCGUGAGAUGUUGGGUUAAGUCCCGCAACGAGCGCAACCCUUGUCCUGUGUUACCAUGCCGAAAGGCGGCACUCGCAGGAGACCGCCAGCGAUAAGCUGGAGGAAGGUGGGGAUGACGUCAAGUCCUCAUGGCCUUUAUGUCCAGGGCUACACACGUGCUACAAUGGGCGGUACAAAGCGCUGCUAAGCCGCAAGGCGGAGCCAAAUCGCAAAAAGCCGCUCUCAGUUCGGAUUGCAGGCUGCAACUCGCCUGCAUGAAGCUGGAAUCGCUAGUAAUGCUAUAUCAGAACGAUAGCGUGAAUACGUUCCCGGGCCUUGUACACACCGCUGUA